GCCCACCACAUGUAUUAACGCUCGCCUCAUUUCUAAUAUAAGCCCCCGUAUAUAAACCCUCCGAAUAUAAGCCCCCCCCCCCCGAAUACAGGUUAUUCAACAUUGACAUUGUCUUUUAAUAUAUCAGAGAACGAUAUUUAAAAACAUUGUCAUUGUCUUUAUAGCUUACUAUGUUAAUCAUUACGACUGACUUGUUUAUGUCUGACUUAUUUAUUACUAAUGCACCUAUCAAUGCUUUUCCCCUGAGGGGAGGGGGGCGUGCGGGCAAGCCAGGGAAUUUUGACAUUUUUAAAAUUUUGCAGUCAAAAUCCCCACUGUUGGGCAAGGAACCGCUGUCAAAAUUCCCCACUAUAUUCCUAAGAUAACAAGGCACACAUAUGUUUUCCACUGCAAACAUACAGUCUAUAUUUGUUUAAACUUGGUAAAAAUUGAGACACUGUAUAAAAUACCAUUUCCGAUGAAACUUGAUCUUGCUUCUCCGCCAUACUUGUUACGAGGCCUUCAGUAAUAUCAAAAACUUUCAAGUUGGCUGAUGUCAAAAUUUUCGACUCUGGGAAUUGAUGCAUAGGUCAAAUUCCCCUCCCUGGUGCUUCAUAGUGUGGUCAAAGUCCCCUGCCCCCCCCCCCACUCAGGGGGAAAACAAUGAUAGGUGCAUAACACAAAACAUUGUCCAUGUAUAAGCCCCCCCCCCCCUUGUAUAAGCCCAUCAAAAAUUGCCUGCUAAGGUAUAUAAGCCCAGGGCUUAAUGGCUUAUAGUUGGAGGUUUACGGUAUAUCGAAUGUCAUGUUGAAUGUCAUGUUGAAUCUUAUGUGUAUUUCACACUACUAUAUUUCGUUGUAUUAAAUUUCAAUAGUAUUACUUUUUAUAAUUCAAAUUUUGUUUGAUAUUUAUAUUUCAUGUUAUUUACAAAAUGUGCUGUACUUUUGAAGCUUUGCACAGAAUAUAGUCAGUGGGAGCACAAUGGCCCCGUUUCAGUUUGAG